UACGGAGGGUGCGAGCGUUAAUCGGAAUUACUGGGCGUAAAGCGCGCGUAGGUGGCUUGAUAAGCCGGUUGUGAAAGCCCCGGGCUCAACCUGGGAACGGCAUCCGGAACUGUCAAGCUAGAGUGCAGGAGAGGAAGGUAGAAUUCCCGGUGUAGCGGUGAAAUGUGUAGAGAUCGGGAGGAAUACCAGUGGCGAGGGCGGUCUUCUGGACUGACACUGACACUGAGGUGCGAAAGCGUGGGUAGCAAACAGG
rnacentral:rRNA from 1 species